GGAAUAUUGGGCAAUGCCCGCAAGGGUGACCCAGCAACGCCGCGUGGAGGAUGAAUGUCGUAAGAUUGUAAACUCCUGUUAGAGGGGAAGAAUAGUACCGGUUGGACCGGUAUAUGACUGUACCCUCAGAGAAAGCCACGGCUAACUACGUGCCAGCAGCCGCGGUAAAACGUAGGGGGCAAGCGUUGUCCGGAUUUACUGGGUGUAAAGGGCGCGCAGGCGGGAUAAAAAGUCAGUGGUGAAAUCCUACAGCUUAACUGUAGAACUGCCUCUGAUACUUUUAUUAUUGAGUUCGGGGGAGAUGGACGUAAUUCCA
rnacentral:rRNA from 1 species